GGCGAACGGGUGAGUAACACGUGAGCAACCUGCCCCUGACUCUGGGAUAAGCGCUGGAAACGGCGUCUAAUACUGGAUAUGUGACGUGAUCGCAUGGUCUGCGUCUGGAAAGAAUUUCGGUUGGGGAUGGGCUCGCGGCCUAUCAGCUUGUUGGUGAGGUAAUGGCUCACCAAGGCGUCGACGGGUAGCCGGCCUGAGAGGGUGACCGGCCACACUGGGACUGAGACACGGCCCAGACUCCUACGGGAGGCAGCAGUGGGGAAUAUUGCACAAUGGGCGCAAGCCUGAUGCAGCAACGCCGCGUGAGGGAUGACGGCCUUCGGGUUGUAAACCUCUUUUAGCAGGGAAGAAGCGAAAGUGACGGUACCUGCAGAAAAAGCGCCGGCUAACUACGUGCCAGCAGCCGCGGUAAUACGUAGGGCGCAAGCGUUAUCCGGAAUUAUUGGGCGUAAAGAGCUCGUAGGCGGUUUGUCGCGUCUGCUGUGAAAUCCGGAGGCUCAACCUCCGGCCUGCAGUGGGUACGGGCAGACUAGAGUGCGGUAGGGGAGAUUGGAAUUCCUGGUGUAGCGGUGGAAUGCGCAGAUAUCAGGAGGAACACCGAUGGCGAAGGCAGAUCUCUGGGCCGUAACUGACGCUGAGGAGCGAAAGGGUGGGGAGCAAACAGGCUUAGAUACCCUGGUAGUCCACCCCGUAAACGUUG
rnacentral:rRNA from 2 species